CUCAAAAUGGAUCUUUACAAAGUGUUCGUCAUGCAUGCUGCAUGCAUACAUCGGAUUAUAACUGCAGGCGUGGCUGGAAAACGAUUAUGUCGAUGAUAUAGAUGAUGUCAGCAAUGAUGUCCAAGGUGAACCACAAUGGAAUGACCUCCGGGUCAUGAUAUGGGAAGGCCAUACGAACGGCAGGUGGCUGGACGUUGGCUGGGUCUGCAGGUGUCUCCUCUGGUUUGGGGGCCGGUUGUGGUGCUGCAGUCGGGGCCGUUGGUUCUGGAGCUGAGGCUGGGGCUGCUGGUUUUUGUUCUGUGGCAGGUGCCGGUGCUGGUGCUGGUGCUGGUGCUGGUGCUGGGCCUAUAAGUUAUUUAGAAGCAAUUUUUUCUGCAUGAUUCCCAACUGGAGGAAGACUCAGGCACAGGUGGAGGAGUGACCCCUGAAGAAGCUUACUCACUAUCAUAUAUGCUACUGAAUUACAAACUUUACUGCAAAGCAACCUGUGACAGACUGUAAGAAUUAUUUCAAAUGCCUCUCAUCUGGAACAUAUCUUCUGCAGGUUUUCCUUCCUGCUGGGCGCAGAGAUUGAUCAUUAUCCCAGAGCGGUUUUGCAGUUAUAAAAACAUUCUCCUAAAUGACAUAUGAUGGCUUCCAUUAUUUAUAGAUUGUUGAGCAAAAUUGUCAAGCACCUUCAGCUAUAACUUUUACAUUUUUAAAUUAUGUUAGAUCACUGUUGGUCCUUUACAUGGUGUUUGACAUAAUAGCAAAACACUA